GCCAGACUCCUACGGGAGGCAGCAGUGGGGAAUAUUGCACAAUGGGGGGAACCCUGAUGCAGCGACGCCGCGUGAGUGAAGAAGUAUUUCGGUAUGUAAAGCUCUAUCAGCAGGGAAGAAAAUGACGGUACCUGACUAAGAAGCCCCGGCUAACUACGUGCCAGCAGCCGCGGUAAUACGUAGGGGGCAAGCGUUAUCCGGAUUUACUGGGUGUAAAGGGAGCGUAGACGGCAGUGCAAGUCUGGAGUGAAAGGCGGGGGCUCAACCCCCGGACUGCUCUGGAAACUGUACGGCUGGAGUGCAGGAGAGGGAAGUGGAAUUCCUAGUGUAGCGGUGAAAUGCGUAGAUAUUAGGAGGAACACCAGUGGCGAAGGCGGCGUACUGGACUGUAACUGACGUUGAGGCUCGAAAGCGUGGGGAGCAAACAGGAUUAGAUACCCGAGUAAGC
rnacentral:rRNA from 1 species